rnacentral:lncRNA from 1 species
CUGCGCCUAUGGGCGAUUCCCGGGUUUCCUGAUUUUUUUUUUUUGAAAUUAAAACGCGAUGAUAGUACCUACAAAUAUCCCAAACAAAUCCAAUAUCAGUCCCGGGGCCCACUUGGCCAAUUUUAGAAUUCUGGCACGGUGGCUCUGCCGUGCUCCAGCAACGGGCGGUGGUGGUCUGCCUCGGAUCGGCUGUUUUCGGCCAUUUUCGAUCAAAUUCGGCCGAUUUUGCAU